GCACGGAGGCUUAGUGGUUAGUGCAUACGCCUCACACCUCAAGGGAUCGGGGUUCGAGUCCCUGUGUGUGCG